GGGUUUAGUUUAGAAUUGGCGAGGGCAGCCUUCUGGCAUAAUACUGACACUGAGGCUCGAAAGCGUGGGUAGCAAAUAGGUAUUAGAUACCCUGGUAGUCCACGCCGUAAACGAUGUCUACUAGUCGUUGGGUCCCUUGAGGACUUAGUGACGCAGCUAACGCAAUAAGUAGACCGCCUGGGGAGUACGGCCGCAAGGUUAAAACUCAAAUGAAUUGACGGGGGCCCGCACAAGCGGUGGAGCAUGUGGUUUAAUUCGAUGCAACGCGAAGAACCUUACCUGGUCUUGACAUAUCUAGAAUCCUGCAGAGAUGCGGGAGUGCCUUCGGGAAUUAGAAUACAGGUGCUGCAUGGCUGUCGUCAGCUCGUGUCGUGAGAUGUUGGGUUAAGUCCCGCAACGAGCGCAACCCUUGUCCUUAGUUACCAGCGGGUUAAGCCGGGAACUCUAAGGAUACUGCCAGUGACAAACUGGAGGAAGGCGGGGACGACGUCAAGUCAUCAUGGCCCUUACGACCAGGGCUACACACGUGCUACAAUGGUAGGUACAGAGGGCAGCUACACAGCGAUGUGAUGCGAAUCUCAAAAAGCCUAUCGUAGUCCGGAUCGCAGUCUGCAACUCGACUGCGUGAAGUCGGAAUCGCUAGUAAUCGUGAAUCAGAAUGUCACGGUGAAUACGUUCCCGGGCCUUGUACACACCGCCCGUCACACCAUGGGAGUGGGUUGCACCAGAAGUAGCUAGUCUAACCUUCGGGAGGACGGUUACCACGGUGUGAUUCAUGACUGGGGUGAAGUCGUAACAGGGUAACCA
rnacentral:rRNA from 1 species